rnacentral:rRNA from 1 species
UGAACGCUAGCUACAGGCUUAACACAUGCAAGUCGAGGGGCAGCAUGGUCUUAGCUUGCUAAGGCCGAUGGCGACCGGCGCACGGGUGAGUAACACGUAUCCAACCUGCCGUCUACUCUUGGACAGCCUUCUGAAAGGAAGAUUAAUACAAGAUGGCAUUAUGAGUCCGCAUGUUCACAUGAUUAAAGGUAUUCCGGUAGACGAUGGGGAUGCGUUCCAUUAGAUAGUAGGCGGGGUAACGGCCCACCUAGUCUUCGAUGGAUAGGGGUUCUGAGAGGAAGGUCCCCCACAUUGGAACUGAGACACGGUCCAAACUCCUACGGGAGGCAGCAGUGAGGAAUAUUGGUCAAUGGGCGAGAGCCUGAACCAGCCAAGUAGCGUGAAGGAUGACUGCCCUAUGGGUUGUAAACUUCUUUUAUAAAGGAAUAAAGUCGGGUAUGGAUACCCGUUUGCAUGUACUUUAUGAAUAAGGAUCGGCUAACUCCGUGCCAGCAGCCGCGGUAAUACGGAGGAUCCGAGCGUUAUCCGGAUUUAUUGGGUUUAAAGGGAGCGUAGAUGGAUGUUUAAGUCAGUUGUGAAAGUUUGCGGCUCAACCGUAAAAUUGCAGUUGAUACUGGAUAUCUUGAGUGCAGUUGAGGCAGGCGGAAUUCGUGGCGUAGCGGUGAAAUGCUUAGAUAUCACGAAGAACUCCGAUUGCGAAGGCAGCCUGCUAAGCUGCAACUGACAUUGAGGCUCGAAAGUGUGGGUAUCAAACAGGAUUAGAUACCCUGGUAGUCCACACGGUAAACGAUGAAUACUCGCUGUUUGCGAUAUACUGCAAGCGGCCAAGCGAAAGCGUUAAGUAUUCCACCUGGGGAGUACGCCGGCAACGGUGAAACUCAAAGGAAUUGAUGGGGGCCCGCACAAGCGGAGGAACAUGUGGUUUAAUUCGAUGAUACGCGAGGAACCUUACCCGGGCUUAAAUUGCAGAUGAAUUACGGUGAAAGCCGUAAGCCGCAAGGCAUCUGUGAAGGUGCUGCAUGGUUGUCGUCAGCUCGUGCCGUGAGGUGUCGGCUUAAGUGCCAUAACGAGCGCAACCCUUGUUGUCAGUUACUAACAGGUUCCGCUGAGGACUCUGACAAGACUGCCAUCGUAAGAUGUGAGGAAGGUGGGGAUGACGUCAAAUCAGCACGGCCCUUACGUCCGGGGCUACACACGUGUUACAAUGGGGGGUACAGAGGGCCGCUACCACGCGAGUGGAUGCCAAUCCCCAAAACCUCUCUCAGUUCGGACUGGAGUCUGCAACCCGACUCCACGAAGCUGGAUUCGCUAGUAAUCGCGCAUCAGCCACGGCGCGGUGAAUACGUUCCCGGGCCUUGUACACACCGCCCGUCAAGCCAUGGGAGCCGGGGGUACCUGAAGUGCGUAACCGCGAGGAGCGCCCUAGGGUAAAACUGGUGACUGGG